rnacentral:rRNA from 1 species
UACGUAGGGUGCAAGCGUUGUCCGGAAUUAUUGGGCGUAAAGAGCUCGUAGGCGGUCUGUCGCGUCUGCCGUGAAAACUCAGGGCUUAACCCUGAGCUUGCAGUGGGUACGGGCAGACUAGAGUGCGGUAGGGGAGACUGGAAUUCCUGGUGUAGCGGUGAAAUGCGCAGAUAUCAGGAGAAACACCGGUGGCGAAGGCGGGUCUCUGGGCCGUAACUGACGCUGAGGAGCGAAAGCGUGGGGAGCGAACAGG